AACUUUCAACAAGGGAUCUCUUGGUUCCGGCAUCGAUGAAGAACGCAGCGAAAUGCGAUAACUAAUGUGAAUUGCAGAAUUCAGUGAAUCAUCGAGUCUUUGAACGCACAUUGCGCCCCCUGGUAUUCCGGGGGGCAUGCCUGUCCGAGCGUCAUU
rnacentral:rRNA from 1 species